rnacentral:rRNA from 1 species
AUUGAACGCUGGCGGCAGGCUUAACACAUGCAAGUCGAACGAGUGGCGGACGGGUGAGUAAUGCUUGGGAAUCUAGCUUAUGGAGGGGGAUAACUACGGGAAACUGUAGCUAAUACCGCGUAACAUAGGAUGAGCCCAUAUUGGAUUAGCUAGUAGGUGGGGUAAAGGCUCACCUGGGAGACGAUCUCUAACUGGUCUGAGAGGAUGGUCACCAACACUGGGACGGAGACACGGCCCAGACUCCUACGGGAGGCAGCAGUGGGGAAUAUUGCACAAUGGGCGCAAGCCUGAUGCAGCCAUGCCGCGUGUAUGAAGAAGGCCUUAGGGUUGUAAAGUACUUUCAGCGGGGAGGCGUUACCCGCAGAAGAAGCACCGGCUAACUCCGUGCCAGCAGCCGCGGUAAUUC